UUAGUCGUUUUUUUCGAAAAAAAAAUAUUCUAAAAUUGAAAAUUGUCAAAGAACAGCGCGUUGAAAGGAUGUUGCUCAUGGACAUUGGAGAAGUGUGGUUUACAUCUCAAUGUAGUCUGUAAAAUUAUCGAGAAAAUCUACCCAAGAAAAAAUCGGCUAAGUCCACGUAAAUAGUACCACUGAACUGUCAUCAGAUUGAGGUUAACCCCGACGGUGCAAAACCUAAUUGGUACUACUCCGAGACUGCAUAAAAUUUUCGUCAAUUUCCUCAUUUUCCGGCAGAUUGUUUAGGUUUUCCACAGGAAACCAUGAGACAAAUUUACACAUCGCUGAGUUCCUGCACUUUUGGCGAUUAUGAGUGAACUAAACUCAAAUUUGGGUCGUACUCAUUCGCCGUGAUACUAUUUUCGCUGACGGCGCCAAGGUGACUACAUAUAGGUGUUCUAAUGUGUCAAAUUCAUGAUUCAGCCAUAGAGCUUUUUGACGUUUAAUCGGCGCACACUACUGUACCAUUUAAAGCGAACGAAUGCAAGCAAGAGGGAAACAGAUUAGUGGGAAAACAAACCGUCCGUUCAUGAGAAAGAUGAUUAAACGUCAAAAAGGUCUAUGUUGGAUUUUUGUAUGGGACAGUUUGUUUACAAUUUGCUCUAAAACCGCACUUUUCCCGCGACCUCCUCGACUAUAUAGUGACAAACACAAACGAAGUGACAGACGACUUACUGGCGAAGAAAUCCAUAAAAAUAAUGUGGUUCACUGUAAUAGAAUUUUCUUGGAAGCUUGUGCCAUCAUCCACCAGAUGGGUUAGUUUUUUUGUUUUGAUUUGAACAAAGUUGAUUUUGUGUACAAUGAUUCUUUGACAGUGUGCAAAGAGUGCGUAUCAUUUUGUCAUUUUUUUAUGCAUUUCAGUUUUGAGUAGAGUGAAAGAGAUAGAACCAAAACAUUCUAGUACAUUCGGUUAAAAUGCUAGUUCAAUCUAGUAGUAGUGUUGCCAUGUGGUACAAUCCAGUAGUAGUGGUGUUGCCAUGUGGUACACUGAAAAAUUGCAAUAGCAGGUUAGUCACCAAAGUUUUCGAGCCGCUCCGUCUGUCACUUCGUUUGUGGUGACAAAGCUGUAUCACCAUUUAUAUACCCAACAUGGACGGCACCGUCGAAAAAUUUGCUCUUCCAGCUAAUAUAGAGUUGUCUAUCACCGUUAGUAUUAGCAUAGAGGUAACUCUAAGACUAGAAGCUCCAGAAAUAACGUGCUCAACUUUUUGGCUCAGCUCUGGUACUCUCUUCGGUCCCAAGCUAAUCGAUUCACCCCUCGAAACAUAGGAAAAACCAAUAACCCCUAAUUUUAUGUGUCAAACUUUCAUAGCGAAUCAAAACAAACAUAGUGUAGUACUAGAAUUUCAACUAGAAUGGGGUACGUUAAUCGUUUUUUGGGACCAAUAGGCUAGUCAAGUAGUGAGCCAAUUUAAAAUCUUUUGUUUCGUAUUGAUUGUUGGUAUUAGCAACAAUCAAUACGAAACUAACGAUUUAAACAAAAUACUAAAAUUUACAUUAAUUGUACUAACACAUUAGCACAAACGAAGUGACAGACGGAGCGGCUCGAAAACUUUGGUGACUAACCUGCUAUUGCAAUUUUUCAGUGUACCACAUGGCAACACCACUACUACUGGAUUGCACCACAUGGCAACACUACUACUGGAUUGUACUAGUAUUUUCACCAAAUGUAUUAGAAUGUUUUGGUUCUAUCUCUUUCACACUACUCAAAACUGAAAAGCAUAAAAAAAUGACAAAAUGAUACACUCUUUGCACACUGUCAAAGAAUCAUUGUACACAAAAUCAACUUUGUUCAAAUCAAAACAAAAAAACUAACCCAUCUGGUGGAUGAUGGCACAAGCUUCCAAGAAAAUUCUAUUACAGUGAACCACAUUAUUUUAAUGGAUUUCUUCGCCAGUUAGUCGUCUGUCACUUCGUUUGUGACAUUAGUCUUGCGAGGGUUCUUAGUUUUGAGGGCUUUCUAUCUCUAUUGUUUCGUUUUCCAUGCUUUGAAAGUAUCCACAAUCAAGUGUUGGGAUUGCACUUCGUUUUGGAUGAAAUAAUUUCAUCGCUUCAUAAGUUCGUCAUUACUUUGUUUGAAUCUCGGUUUGAAUGAGUUGUCGUCAUCAGUUUUAAACAAUUCUAGGCUGCCGAAAUGUUCGAUGAGACAUGGUCCAAAUUGUGGUUCCGGUGCCUGCUGUAGCUGUCGAAUACGAGUCGGAGUGCCAAAGUUGGACCUAUUAGGAGCGCCAGUUAGUUCUAAUGUUGACUGGAACAAGGUGCCAUUUGAAAAACUUACCCGUGUCAACUGAGACAGCACCGUGUUAAUCUGGGAUCCAAUCCGUAAACCGAAUUCUGCACCUACAUAGGACAUAUCCCGGUAGCUGAACUCAUGGGUAACGACUCAUAACCUGAUGACGUUAUCCAGCCGAGUCCUGAGCUUCAAAAAGAUCAACAAGACCAUGGAAACGAUUCAUCGCUAUUGGAAAUUCACCUUCGGGUUGAACUGGAACCGGAAGCAGCAAAAUCAGCUGGCUAAUUGGACAGCAAGCAUAUUCCACGCAACGAAUGGUUUUUUUUUUUCCUUGGAUUUGUUUUCCGUCGAUCUUGUUUUCCGUGCUGAGCACCAAUGCUACCGACGCCAGGAAGGCAGCUCCCACACCUGGACCCUACCUAUAAACCCAUCAACUCAUGAACCGGGGACCAACGGCUUUAUUUCCCUUCCGAAGGAAGGCGUGAUCAGAGAUGUUAUGCCUUUUUGGUAGCUGUUCUCAGUGAACAUAAUCGGACGCACUUCCAUUCCCAGGAAUUAAUUUCCACGAAUUCUUCAUCGUCUGUGAACCAAUGUGCUGUUCUCCUAUGGAACGGGAAUCAAUUGACAACACCGCCCCUGUUAACGGAAGCCCAGAGUGAUGGUCCCGUGGUUGUAUUACGCUCGAUUUGCCAUGAGAAUGCAACUUUGAGAGAUUUGUUGCUGGGGGAACGUCCAGUACCGUUUUUAUCAUGAAAAGCCGAAGUCGAAAUCGAUCAGAGCUAUAGAAAACGAAAAUCUAGGCAAAAAUUAUGACAAACAGAAAGCUGCAGUAAACAUAAACAACAACGGUGCAACGUCAUUGAGUGUAUACGUUAAAGUUAAGGGCCACCCACAAUAGUCCGUCACCGUCAGCGUCAACUGACAGCUUGGUUUGAGCCAACGCUAUUCAGUUUAGCAACCCACAAAGAUGCGUUGCGCUCACUGCGUGCCAGUACUAAAACGCUGACGCUGUGCUAAAUUUUGAAGAUUUUCAAAAUUGAAUAGACAGAAAUAAACAUUAAAAACUCGGUUUUAGGUACUUUUCACCGCUUUUCACCCAACAUUCACUCUUUACGAAAUAGUUACAUUUGACUUAAAACCGAGGGGGGCGACACAUCUAAAUCUCGAUUCUAGAUGCUCAAAAAAUCUCACACUAUAGCGAAUAAAUCUUCGAAAAAUCUUCUUUCAUUUCUCGCAUCUACUUGCAUCGCGCAUCAUUUUUUUGCAGGAAUUCUUCAAAAUCGUGAUAAAUCUUCUUGCUAUCUACUCAGCGUACGCCCAGCUACUACCACAAACGAAGUGACAGACGACUAACUGGCGAAGAAAUCAAUUAAAAUAAUGUGGUUCGCUGUAGUAGAAUUUUCUUAGAAGUUUGUGCCAUCAGCCACCAGAUGGGCUAGUAUUUUUGUUUUGAUUUGAACAUAGUUGAUUUUGUGUGCAAUAUGAUCUUUGACAGUGUGCAAAGAGUGUAUCAUUUCGUAAUUUUUUUAUGCAUUUCAGUUUAGAGUAGAGUGAAAGAGAUAGAACCAAAACAUUCUAGUACAUUUAGUGUUGCCAUGUGGUACAAUCCAUUAGUAGUGUUGCCAUGUGGUGCAAUCCAGUAGUAGUGGUGUUGCCAUGUGGUACACUGAAAAAUUGCAAUAGCAGAUGCGUCACCAAAGUUUUCGAGUCGCUCCGUCUGUCACUUCGUUUGUGCUGGGACUAUCCAUUAAAUGAGU